rnacentral:rRNA from 1 species
CCCUUAGGUGUUCUGGGCUGCACGCGGGCUACACUGCUGCAAUUAACGGGUUUUCUGUGCCGAAAGGCUUGGGGAAUCCUUUGAAUAUGCGGCGUGAUGGGGAUAGAAUAUUGUAAUUAUUACUCUUCAACGAGGAAUUCCUAGUAAGCGCGGGUCAGCAGCCCGCGCUGAUUACGUCCCUGCCCUUUGUACACACCGCCCGUCGCUCCUACCGGACUCCGGUUAUUCCAGCAUUUGGUUUUGCUGGGGAAAGUUUCGUGAACCUUAUCACUUGGAGGGAGGAGAAGUCGUAACA